NNNNNNNNNNNNNNNNNNNNNNNNNNNNNNNNNNACGCACCGGGAUUUUAUUGGCUGCAGACACACGCAGCAUCUUCUUGCGCUCCUCCUUGAGGUGGAUGGGCAGCUAGCUGGAGAUGACACAGGAUGAUGCGCAUCUUUCGCACGCUGGCUCCAAGAUCUCCGCUGCCAGAUGCAGCAACAAAGCUUCUUUGUACAGACAGCCCUGGACACACUUCCAGCAGCAAUUCUUCUUGCAGGAACUGGUGCAAGAACAGGAUUUAUUCGUGGCACAGGAGCAGUUGGUGUCCACUGGGAGUGGAGGCAGAAGAGAGACCAGAGCGGUGACUUCAACAGAAGUGGAGUAAAUAAAGAUGAUCACAGAACUUGGAAGCUGACGAAAUUAAUUUUGGAAAAGAGCUGGCUUGGAGCAUGACAGAAGAAUUCGAUGGAAAGAGUGCUGGGAGCCCAACUCAAGACUGAUGUGUGCUUGGCAGGCAGUCUACCCCCGAUCUCAGUCCUCCAGCCUUUCGGCCUUUUUUCCUUUUUGGAGACAGAAUUGCAUCAUAUGGCAUCCUACACAGUCCUGCCUCAGUCUCUGCAGUGCUGGGAUUGUAGGCCUAUGCCACCUAGCCUUUCUACAAUACAAACAAAUAUGAAAAGAAGAGGGACUUCUUUGGAAAGGAGUACAGGGACUAUGGAAGAGAUGAAAAGAUAAUAUUGUCAGAAAUUAUGCCGCUUUUGAAGAGAUAAACUGAACUCUUGAUUCUGUGAGGUUAUUAAAGAAUAUUAAUUUUCAAAUCACGGUAAAAUCUUGAUUCAGCAACACAUGAGGAUAAUCAUUGUGUCCAUGGAAACCUUGGGAAGCAGUUGAAAGCCUGGUCCCUCUUGCCUGGAGCAUUAACACAACGUGGCUGCAAAGUUAGUCCUUUCCCGCUACCAUCUCCUGAAUACUGGGACUAACUACACGUAUGCACGAACCUGCCCAUCUUUGCCUCUGUUAACAGCUGCCACUGUCUCUUCACGACAUGAUGGCUGACCUAGGUUGGAAGGAACAGAGCCAGUUGGCCAUGGACUGAAACUUUUGGAACUGAUUCUGAGGAGUUAAUGUUUCCAUGAAUAUCUCAGAAGGAGAUGUGGACAAACGAACAGUUAUCUCACUCCUGUAGCUGGCUGAGCUUUUUAAAGAUGGCUAUUCUGAAUUCUUCACAGAUGGCACAGUGUCAGAAUCGUGUGUGGCCUCCUGCUGCCUGAACCAUGCCGCUAAGACAGUUGCCCACUGUGCAGCUUCACACCAUCUGCAGAGAGCAACACUGCAGAGCCUUUGGGAGAGCCUUGCCAGUCGCUGAAAGCCUGGCUGACUGCCAAGCCUUGCACUGUAGACUGAAAAUUGCUCUCUUUGCUGAGCUCAGUACUAACACUUAGAUCUUCAUGGUCUCCUGGGAGACCAUGUCAGCUGCUGUUCAGUGAGAUAAAUUUGGAUCAGCUGAAGAUAUGCACUCUCUAUGCCUUCCUUGACUGUCAGCUAAACAGUGUGCACUCCUGGCUUAGUACAGCCUUGGCUGCUGAGAGCCCCAUUCCUCCCCUGUGCUCUUCAUUGUCCUCAUGAUCUGGCUUUCAUCAUCCAUUAUACUCCUAACACUGGGAGUGAAGUGUCAUUGAAGAAUGUUCAUCAGGCACUACCUCAAAGGGCUGGAGAUGAUUGGUGAAUGCUUUGAUUCUUCAUUCCUCCUAGGACACAUAUCAAGCCCCCAGAAUUUCUCUCUAUCCAGUUGCACCAGUGUGAGGAACUUGACGGUGUCAGGAAAGUGAAACUGCUUCUCUGCUCCAUAUAAAUGUCUGUGCAGAUGCAAAGCCAUGCAUUACAUGGUAGCUCACCUUUAAUCCUAGCACUCAGGAGACAGAGGCAGGAGGAUCUCUCCGAGCUCAAGGCCAGCCUGGUCUUCACAGUGAGUUCCAGGACAGCCAAGGCUACACAGGAAUCCUGUGUACAGGUCCUUGGUAUUGCACUCCUCUCUAUAAACACAACUUGCUUUUAGAAUGUGUGGUUGUUAAGUUGUUCUGUGAAGGAUGGAUAAAGGCUAGCUCACUACUACACCCGUCAGCUUGCUCCUGUCACUUCUUCUCACCUUUGAGCACUUAGCAUCCCUCUCCGUGUUGUCUUUGCUGAAAUGCUUGCUAAGGCGAAGCUCCUCUGUAGCUGUCCUCUAGCCCCAGCCAAGAUUCUUUCAAGAUUUUUCUUUGGCCUUCUGUAAUUUGAAUAUGAUGAAUGUUUUUAUUUAC
ensembl:lincRNA Ftx Ftx transcript, Xist regulator (non-protein coding)